AAAGUGGUUUUAAGAGUUGAGGAAAGGAUUAGUUAACUGCUUCAUAAUACUUCCUAAGAUAGAGCCUGAUUCAAACAAUAUAUCAGAAAUGUCCAUUAUUAGAUAAAGGUCAACAUUUCUUCUUAAAAUUCUGAUUUAGAUGGGGUGGCUAGUGAGAAAUAAUGGGGCCAUGGUGCCUUUGACUUAGGGUGUCCAAACAUUAUUUUAUUCACUUAUCUUUUAUUUCAAUGUACUCAGUGACUUGUUAGAAGCUAGUUGAAAUUCAGGGUAUAAGAAUCCAGUGGCUUCCUUUUCUAUUUCCACAGAGAAGCAGAUGCCCUUGGCCAGCACCAUCCACAAUGGGCCCCAACACUCUUUCAAUGGAACAGGGGAAGGAGCUGUUAAAGCAAUGUGGGAUCCCUCAAAGAUAUGAAAUCUAAUAUUCAAUUAAAGAGCAAGCCCAAUCAGAAGCCCAAGGCUAUGAAUCAGACAGCAUGUCAUUCUGUAUGUCAUCAGCCUCUAAGGCCCCCUAAUGACAAUAACCUACAAGGAAGACUGCUGUGCCAGAGGACUUCCCCACCAGAUGGACAGUACAGCAAGGUGAAAUGCAAGAACUAUGGAGCCUUUGGGCACUUGGAAAAAAGCAAGAGGUGCCCCAUGAAGUCAUGGGGUGGGCCCUUCCCUUACUGGCCUUGGGUCGCAAUCAGGAGAAAGAGAACCUGAAACCUAAGAAUCCUCACCAACUUCAGUCUGCAGAACCCUUGAGGAAGACUGACAGACAAGAGGAAGGAACUCAAAGGUAAGGAUUCUGCAGGCAGAAUCCUUUUUUUUGUGUGUGUAUUAAACCAUUUUAUUGGAAACUGGUUAAAAAGUAAGGCACUCCAAAUCGUACAGUUUUCUUGAGGUUACAAUUCUGUGGCUGCUCUUAGUCCUCUUUCAGAGAAGCGUCGUGGAGCAGGGCCCGCCUCACAUGCCUGCGUGCUGUGCAGAGGAUUAAAUACUGCACGUGACAAUGGCGGCUCUACUUUGAGCUCAGCAUCCUACAUUCAACAGGUGUGAUUUUACAUCCAUACUACUGCACUAACAGUUCAUGACGUCUACCACAAGUGUCUUCUAGAAUACAAGGUACAAAGUCAGAUUCUGAUGGCUGCUGUUAUAAAAUACUUAGGAGCCCUGAGCUUUGGGGCCAAGAAGAAUGUGCCACCCCCUCUUCUUUCCCUGGAGCUGUCUCUAGGCAUAGAGAGAAAACUGCAGAGAAACAGACAAGUGCUCCAGACCUUCCAGGGGUGCACACCGAGCUCGUCCUAUUCUAAGAACCACUGAAGGGAAGGGCUGUGGAAUACCUUGGAAUGCUGCUCCUGGCAGCCAGAACAGCCACAGACUAAAUGAAAGUGCACAACACUGAAGUCACACUAGGGAACGCAGCACAUCCUGGGGGUGGAGGGGCUUCCUAGACAAGAAAUGAACCACUGCACCAAGUUCACAGGGGCAUCAGUGCCUGCCUCACUCCUGAACAAGGGCUAGCAUGGGGCCCUGGGAGUGCUCUUGGUUUGGUUUGCUGUCCCUCGUAUAGAUAGGAAGGAAAGUUACUUCAGACAGAUAAUAGGAUUUGUUCUGCAGGCAUGAAGGGCAGCAGGGGAAAUCUGGACCUCAUGAAACACAGGGGAGGCCACAGAAGUAGCCGAAGAACUCUGUGGUGGCAACAGAACCAUUUGCCUAUCUGAGGCAUCCUACAAAACCACUGUCUGCCCAAAUAUCCAAGAGGAAGUCGCCCCUUGGCUCUGCACUGCCAGGUCCACCGCCUAUUGAGACACCUUAUAGAUCACGCUGUGCUACCCAGUCUCAAAAAAAAAAAAAAAAAAAAACCUCAGCUGAGCACUGAUGCCCCAGCCCAAGGAUCUGGGGUCAACUUUGCUGACUCCCCUCACCAUGUUCUAAAGAAAUUCACCCCAGGCCCAGCUGGCAGUGCCAAGCCAACAGCCAAAGUGCCUGAUGUUUUCUCUCGUGACAUUCCUCAACCUGCCUGGAAGACACCUACCCUGGGUCACAGGUCUAAUCCACAGGCACAAAUUAAACAUACAGAGGUGGAUUCAAAGUUGCAUCCACAGCCAGUUACAGAAAAGUGUGGCCAGAACUCCAGACUCAGCAUCCAGGCCCCAGGCAAAAGGUCUGCCCAGGACUGCAUCCAGACCAGCCAGAACUGCCCCAAGAAGCCAAGACUCCUGGUUUCCCAAUCUCUCUCCAGUAUGAGUGGACCUGCGCACUCUCAGGCAACCAAAGGGUCUGCAAAGACAACAGUCCUGAAGCAAUUUCUGACCCACAGCCUCCACCCAACUCAUGUUGCUCAAGUCCAGGCCAGAAUUGCACAAUCUUCCAACCUUGACUGUCCAGUCGUGUUCCAGACAAGACACAGAGAAUCGGCCCCAAGAAACAGGACAGUACCAGGUCCAGAACCCCUCCUGCACCCAAUCUGGUGAAGUCCACACCUGCUCAUCAGAAUUUUCACAUCUUAAAGGAGUCUGAGAGGCAGGGUUCCCAGGUCACAAGGAGUGUCCUCUAUGAGGAUCUUCUGGUCUCUCCCUCCUCUGAUGACAGUGACUGAAAGUGAUAACUCCCACCCCACCCCAACUCUGGGACAGAGAAGAUGGCCUCAGGUCUUCAGGACUUGGAAAUGACUGAAAGGCUGAGAUGGGGAAAGCACCAGGGUGGAGCUCCGCUUGGUGACUCAAUGCUGCAAUGAGUACGCAAAUGGUGGAGCCUAAAAUAACACUGGUGAUCAACACAAGACAUCACCUAUUUAAUGUUGUAAGAUGGACCUGCUUGAAUUGGGACUUAGGAAACUGUCCUGAAAAGUCUUUUUAAAAUUAGAUCUAAGCCGGCGCCAUGGCUCACUAGGCUAAUCCUCCGCCUUGCAGCACCGGCACACUGGGUUCUAGUCCCAGUCGGGGUGCCAGAUUCUGUCCCAGUUGCCCCUCUUCCAGGCCAGCUCUCUGCUGUGGCCAGGGAGUGCAGUGGAGGAUGGCACAAGUGCUUGGGCCCUGCACCCCAUGGGAGACCGGGAUAAGUACCUGGCUCUUGCCAUCGGAUCAGCGCGGUGCACCGGCCGCCAUGUGCCGGCCGUGGUGGCCAUUGGAGGGUGAACCAGUGGCAAAGGAAGACCUUUCUCUCUGUCUCUCUCUCUCACUGCCCACUCUGUCUGUCAAAAAAUAAAAAAAAAAUAGAUCUAAUUAUGUGAGAAGCUUACUGAACAUGAGGAAAUUAUAUUACUCUCUACUGUCAAUAGAAAGCUGUGAAAUCCACCUGUAUGUGUGAACAAUAGACUAGCACUUGUGUAGCUUUGCAAAGGGCCCAUAUUCGGUUGUUAAAGGUCUAUUUUUAAAAGUGCCCUCUCUGGACCCUUGAAUUUUGGAGGAAGAGUUCUAGUGGGAAAUUCUUAGCUUUGAUACACUGGGGGGAAAUUUCUUUCCUGAAGGAAUUUGUUUUUUGUUGUUGUUGUGUGUAUUUUUUUAAGGCAGAGUUACAGACAGUGAGAGAGUGAGACAGAGAGUUACAGACAGUGAGAGGGUGACAGAGAAAAAGGUCUUCCUUCUGUUUGUUCACUCCCCUAAUGGCCGCUAUGGCCAGUGCUGUGCCAAUCCGAAUCCAGGAGCUGGGUGCUUCUUCCUGGUAUCCCAUGCAUGUGCAGGGACCCAAGCACUUGGGCCAUCUUCCACUUCCCUCACAGGCCACAGCAGAGACCUGAACUGGAAGAGGAGCAACUGGGACUAGUACCCGGCGCCCCAACCGGGACUGGAACCCGAGGUGCCGGCGCCGCAGGUGGAGGAUUAGCCAAGUGAACCGUGGCGCCGGCUGGAUUUUGGUUUUAUUGGUGAUUUCAUUCAAAUUCUUCCACAGUGCAUGCUCUAUGAAUGGUUCCCAAGUGUUAGAAAAGGAAACUACACACUUUCUGAAGUUGAUUGAACACUGACUUCCACUUUGAGUAAAGUAUCGCAGCUCAUCUGUAAAGGAGACAUCAACAAAAUACCCAGGAUCAGAGUUACUGAGGAGAUUAAAUAAAUUAGGUAAAGUAUGUUAAUAUAAGUGACACAUGAUAAAUAAUACAUGCAUUACUAUUAUUUGAUCACAAGUAAGCAACAGAGUAGCCUCAAUGUAAGGAAAAAUACAUUUUGUUAUUGAAAGUCAUCGUAAAACUAUGGUUUAUUAUCAAUAAAUGUAUUGCCAAGGUUCACAGGUGUUUUGAUUUUUAUAUCACUUCUGCCCAAUAUCCUUUUUUAAAAAAGAUACACACACACACACACACACACACACAGAGCAUCCUAUAUUUCAUGCACACAGCUGAAUCCCACGCAGUGCUUUCAUUUUUGCCAAAAUCUUGUAUUUACUGCCAACCUAGGCUGCUAAGGCAAACGUGACUUCACGCCCCUCUAGGAACGAAAGCUUGUUAUUAAAAUGAAGGCAGGUCGCUCACAUCACCGACCUGUGCGUUUGAACGGAACACGACUCCUAUCCAUGUUUCCUCAUGUUCAGGGGAUUCCUCGGUCCAACAGGCGCACCUGAGAAUGGCACUCCCUUUCAACAACCCGCGCUACCUGCACACCCACAAGAGGCUUUUAAAAACCUGAAGCAGUCGUCCCGGCCUCUGCCCUGGUCAGUGUGCGAGAAUCACCUGCGGCUCGGGGCCGUGCGGGUCUGGACAGCCAUUACCUUGCAAGUAACAGACUCUGAGGAUGCCGCCAUUGGCGACACAGUCUUAUGGCACCCAGCUCCUCAGGGCUGAAAUGCCCGCAAGGGGUGCUGGGAGAUGUUGGAAGGUAACGUGAGCCCGCGGAGGCCCUGCCCUGCUCAUAGGCAUGCGCACUCACGGUGAGCAAGCCCGAAGGUAGCGGGAAGUCAUGAGGACGGCGGGGCCCUGACCGGGCUGGGAACCUUCUGGAGGGUCUCCUGCCACCCGUGCGCGUGCUCCUGGCAUCGCCGUGGCCAUCUCUCCUGUCCCCUAGUGCUCUGGGAAAUGGCCCAGAUGGUUUUGGGAAGCACAGAGCUUCUGUCCAAGCACUGCGCCCUGGGUACUGGGCUGCUCACUGUGCUGCACCUGAAGCCAAGCCUCCCGCUGUUAGGCCAAGCGCAUGGCUCCUGGGAUGGCAGCUGCUCCACAUGGGUCCACCUUCCCAGAAACACCACAGCCUUCCUGCUUAGUCCAUCUGAGGUCCACGGGAGAGCACCCUGGCCCCGAACCUGAGACCUGGGAUACCCUGAAGGAUGGGGCCCAUGCACCGUUCCUAGGGUCAUUCCUGAGGGAUUCACUGUACUUAGGGAAUUUAUAGAAGAGAUUUUUAUAAAAUAACUCAUCAAUGGCUUUUGUUGAAAAUGUGUUGCCUCCAUGAUUCAAAUGUGACACUCUGAGCCACUUAAAGUCAAGAUAGCAGGAAGAAUAGGAACAAUUUUACAACAGAGAAACACAUCUUAAGUUGCUGAGUGGAACGAGUGCCCUCAUCAACCCUGCAAAAUUCAGUGACUGCUUGAACAGCAUGCGAGGUUGCCCUGAUGAAAAUUUAAGUCUUUAAGAGAGGUCUCAAACUUGUUUAUUUUUUUAAGCUACGUCUGUACUUGUUCUUUCUUCCCCUGGUCACUCGGAUCUUGUUGGGUUGCAAUGAUUUAGUCUUCUGGACCAUGACCCCGACCUGUUUCCAGAGCCUUGAAGAAAGAAUAAAAAAUUUGUUCAGCGUAAAUGCAGGGUUCACGUUACAGAGGACUGAAGCUGCUAUCACUAGUUUAUUCUCCAGGUGACCUCAAAGUGCAGGCCUAGGUUAGGGUGAAGCAUGGAGCUGGGGCCUGGAACUUGCAAUGGGGUGAAGGUGCUCAUAUGGGUUGUUGUCCCUGCACAGACUUAGCCCACUGCACCACAGAGUCUCUACUUAUUUUCUUAAAGAAUUUUUAUUUACUUACUUAUUUGAAAGGCUGAAUUUUCUGUUGGGAGAGGAGAGAAAAUUUGCCAUCUGCUGGUUCACUCCCCAAGUGCUACAAUGGCUGGUGUUGGUCCAGGCCAAAGUCAGGAACCUGCAAUUCAUUGUGGUCUCUCAGCUAGUCAGCAGUGACCCAAGCAGGUGGGUCAUCUCCUGCUUUCCCAGUUGCAUUAGCCAAGAGCUGGAUUCCAACACAGCAUGGUGGCAAGUGCAGAUGAAAGGCUAAUUCACAGCAUCAUAACACUGGCCCUGAAAUUUACUUUUUUUUGUGGAUGUUAUCUGGAUGGUUCUGAAAAGUGAAGUUAAUGGCUCAUGGAGUGUAAUAGCUGUAUCUUACUAUGCCAACCAAUGACCUCAUUGAACAUGUUAAAACCGUAAGUUCUCAAUAAAAUCAAACUUCUUUUUUAAUGCAUACCACUAGAUAUUUUACAGAAAAAUGCAGCUAAAAUGCUGACUAAAAUAAAAAAUAAUACAUUCCAUGUAAUUUAAAAUUGAUUUGCUCUUAGAUAUAUGAGAGUACCUUCAAAUGGUUC